AUUGAACGCUGGCGGCAGGCCUAACACAUGCAAGUCGAGCGGAGCGGCGGACGGGUGAGUAAGGACUAGGAAGCUACAUGGUAGUGAGGUAUAACGUCCGGGAGCGGGACCUAAUACCGCAUACUCUCAGAUGAGCCUAGGUCGGAUUAGCUGGUUGGUGGGGUAAAGGCCUACCAAGGCGACGAUCCGUACCUGGUCUGAGAGGAUGAUCAGUCACACUGGAACUGAGACACGGUCCAGACUCCUACGGGAGGCAGCAGUGGGGAAUAUUGGACAAUGGGCGAAAGCCUGAUCCAGCCAUGCCGCGUGUGUGAAGAAGGUCUUCGGAUUGUAAAGCACUGUAAGUUGGGAGGCGUUACCAACAGAAUAAGCACCGGCUAACUUCGUGCCAGCAGCCGCGGUAAUUC
rnacentral:rRNA from 1 species